CCUACGGGAGACAGCAGUGAGGAAUAUUGGUCAAUGGACGAGAGUCUGAACCAGCCAAGUAGCGUGAAGGAUGACUGCCCUAUGGGUUGUAAACUUCUUUUAUAUGGGAAUAAAACGUUCCACGUGUGGGAUUUUGUAUGUACCAUAUGAAUAAGGAUCGGCUAACGCCGUGCCAGCAGCCGCGGUAAUACGGAGGAUCCGAGCGUUAUCCGGAUUUAUUGGGUUUAAAGGGAGCGUAGGUGGAUUGUUAAGUCAGUUGUGAAAGUUUGCGGCUCAACCGUAAAAUUGCAGUUGAAACUGGCAGUCUUGAGUACAGUAGAGGUGGGCGGAAUUCGUGGUGUAGCGGUGAAAUGCUUAGAUAUCACGAAGAACUCCGAUUGCGAAGGCAGUUCACUGGACUGCAACUGACACUGAGGCUCGAAAGUGUGGGUAUCAAACAGGAUUAGAUACCCGUGUAGUC
rnacentral:rRNA from 1 species